rnacentral:rRNA from 1 species
AGGUUAAGUGAAUAAGGGCGCACGGUGGAUGCCUUGGCACUAGGAGCCGAUGAAGGACGGGACUAACACCGAUAUGCUUUGGGGAGCUGUACGUAAGCUAUGAUCCAGAGAUUUCCGAAUGGGGGAACCCAGCAUCUUUUAUAGGAUGUUACAAAUAUGUGAAUACAUAGCAUAUUUGAGGUAGACGCAGAGAACUGAAACAUCUAAGUACCUGCAGGAAGAGAAAGAAAAUUCGAUUCCCUGAGUAGCGGCGAGCGAAACGGGAAAAGCCCAAACCAACAAGCUUGCUUGUUGGGGUUGUAGGACUCCGAUAUGGUAGUUUUUUCAGAUAAUCGAAUGACUUGGAAAAGUCAGUCAAAGAGGGUAAAAACCCCGUAGAUGAAAUUUGGAAGACACCUAGGAGGAUCCUGAGUACGGCGGAACACGAGGAAUUCCGUCGGAAUCCGGGAGGACCAUCUCCCAAGGCUAAAUACUCCCUAGUGACCGAUAGUGAACCAGUACCGUGAGGGAAAGGUGAAAAGCACCCCGGAAGGGGAGUGAAAUAGAACCUGAAACCGUGUGCCUACAACAAGUCAAAGCCCGUUAAUGGGUGAUGGCGUGCCUUUUGUAGAAUGAACCGGCGAGUUACGAUUGCAUGCGAGGUUAAGUCGAAGAGACGGAGCCGUAGCGAAAGCGAGUCUGAAUAGGGCGUUUGAGUAUGUAGUCGUAGACCCGAAACCAUGUGAUCUACCCAUGUCCAGGUUGAAGGUGCGGUAAAACGCACUGGAGGACCGAACCCACGUACGUUGAAAAGUGCGGGGAUGAGGUGUGGGUAGCGGAGAAAUUCCAAACGAACUUGGAGAUAGCUGGUUCUCUCCGAAAUAGCUUUAGGGCUAGCCUCGGAAUUGAGAAUGAUGGAGGUAGAGCACUGUUUGGACUAGGGGCCCAUCUCGGGUUACCGAAUUCAGAUAAACUCCGAAUGCCAUUCAUUCAUAUCCGGGAGUCAGACUGUGAGUGAUAAGAUCCAUAGUCGAAAGGGAAACAGCCCAGACCACCAGCUAAGGUCCCAAAAUAUAUGUUAAGUGGAAAAGGAUGUGGGGUUGCACAGACAACUAGGAUGUUGGCUCAGAAGCAGCCACCAUUUAAAGAGUGCGUAAUAGCUCACUAGUCGAGUGACCCUGCGCCGAAAAUGUACCGGGGCUAAACAUAUUACCGAAGCUGUGGAUAACACCUAUGGUGUUAUGGUAGGAGAGCGUUCUAAGGGCGUUGAAGGUAGAUCGUGAGGACUGCUGGAGCGCUUAGAAGUGAGAAUGCCGGUAUGAGUAGCGAAAGACAGGUGAGAAUCCUGUCCACCGAAUGACUAAGGUUUCCUGGGGAAGGCUCGUCCGCCCAGGGUUAGUCGGGACCUAAGCCGAGGCCGAAAGGCGUAGGCGAUGGAUAACAGGUUGAUAUUCCUGUACCCGUUGUUUUUGUUUGAGCAAUGGAGGGACGCAGGAGGCUAAGGAAUGCAGACGAUUGGAAAUGUCUGUCCAAGCAGUAAGUCUUAGGUUGAGUCAAAUGCUUAAUCUUUUAAGGACAAGCUGUGAUGGGGAGGGAAAUAAUAGUACCGAAGUUCCUGAUGUCACACUGCCAAGAAAAGCUUCUAGUGAGAAAACAACGGCCCGUACCGCAAACCGACACAGGUAGUCGAGGAGAGAAUCCUAAGGUGAGCGAGAGAACUCUCGUUAAGGAACUCGGCAAAAUGACCCCGUAACUUCGGGAGAAGGGGUGCUGAUCGUCAGAUCAGCCGCAGUGAAUAGGCCCAAGCGACUGUUUAUCAAAAACACAGGUCUCUGCAAAAUCGUAAGAUGAAGUAUAGGGGCUGACGCCUGCCCGGUGCUGGAAGGUUAAGAGGAGUGCUUAGCGUAAGCGAAGGUACGAAUUGAAGCCCCAGUAAACGGCGGCCGUAACUAUAACGGUCCUAAGGUAGCGAAAUUCCUUGUCGGGUAAGUUCCGACCCGCACGAAAGGCGUAACGAUUUGGGCACUGUCUCAACGAGAGACUCGGUGAAAUUUUAGUACCUGUGAAGAUGCAGGUUACCCGCGACAGGACGGAAAGACCCCAUGGAGCUUUACUGUAGUUUGAUAUUGAGUGUCUGUACCGCAUGUACAGGAUAGGUAGGAGCCGUAGAAAUCGGAACGCUAGUUUCGAUGGAGGCGCUGGUGGGAUACUACCCCUGCGUUAUGGCCACUCUAACCCGCACCACUAAUCGUGGUGGGAGACAGUGUCAGAUGGGCAGUUUGACUGGGGCGGUCGCCUCCUAAAAGGUAACGGAGGCGCCCAAAGGUUCCCUCAGAAUGGUUGGAAAUCAUUCGAAGAGUGUAAAGGCAGAAGGGAGCUUGACUGCGAGACCAACAAGUCGAGCAGGGACGAAAGUCGGGCUUAGUGAUCCGGUGGUUCCGCAUGGAAGGGCCAUCGCUCAACGGAUAAAAGCUACCCUGGGGAUAACAGGCUUAUCUCCCCCAAGAGUCCACAUCGACGGGGAGGUUUGGCACCUCGAUGUCGGCUCGUCGCAUCCUGGGGCUGUAGUCGGUCCCAAGGGUUGGGCUGUUCGCCCAUUAAAGCGGCACGCGAGCUGGGUUCAGAACGUCGUGAGACAGUUCGGUCCCUAUCCGUCGCGGGCGUUGGAAAUUUGAGAGGAGCUGUCCUUAGUACGAGAGGACCGGGAUGGACUUACCGCUGGUGUACCAGUUGUUCUGCCAAGGGCAUUGCUGGGUAGCUAUGUAGGGAAGGGAUAAACGCUGAAAGCAUCUAAGUGUGAAGCCCACCUCAAGAUGAGAUUUCCCAUUUCUUUAAGAAAGUAAGAUCCCUGAGAGAUGAUCAGGUAGAUAGGUCAGAAGUGGAAGUACAGUGAUGUAUGGAGCGGACUGAUACUAAUCGAUCGAGGACUUAACCAAGAA